rnacentral:lncRNA from 1 species
GUCACUUGUUCAAGAUCACACAGUCUGUGGCUGAGAGGUCCUGUCUUCUGGAUCCCAGGACAUCUGACCCUGAGCUCAACCUUGGUGUACCGCCUCAGCCUUACUUUCAUCUGUCUCAGUCUCCCCAGCAUUGGGCAAAGGGGCUCCAGUGGAGUUACUUCUUCACAAGAAUCACUUUUCUCCACCAAACGUUUGAUCAUGGAGGGGGCUGUGAGCUCAGGUGCUAUUCUAUGGGUGAUGGAGUUUAUCAUCAUCAUUUGCCCGUCAGCAUUUGCUGUUACCCCACCUCAGAUGCUGUGGCACCCGAAACUGUGCAGGAGGCCCAGAAAAUGGGAAAUGUGCUGCAUGGACUAGCAGUAUCUGUUAAAACCACUAAUAAUUUAAAAUAAUCCAAAGAGGGAUCCCUGGGUGGCGCAGCGGUUUGGCGCCUGCCUUUGGCCCAGGGCGCGAUCCUGGAGACCCGGGAUCGAGUCCCACGUCGGGCUCCCGGUGCAUGGAGCCUGCUUCUUCCUCUGCCUGUGUCUCUGCCUCUCUCUCUCUCUCUGUGACUAUCAUA